CAGCAGCCGCGGGAAUACGGGGGGGGCAAGUGUUAUUCGGAAUGACUGGGCGUAAAGGGCACGUAGGCGGUGAAAAGGGUGGAAAGUGAAAGUCGCCAAAACACUGGCGGGGUGCUUUCUUGACCAUUUCACUUGAGUGAGAUAGGGGAGAGUGGAAUUUCGUGUGGAGGGAUCAAAUCCUAAGAUAUACGAAGGAACGCCAACCGCGAAGGCAGCUCUCUGGGUCCCCACUGACGCUGGGGUGCGAAAGCAUGGGGAGCAAACAGGAUCAGAUACCCCGGUAGUCCCUGUCUCUUAUACA
rnacentral:rRNA from 1 species